AUGACUUUGGUGAGAACAAUGACAAAUGGAUUGUGGCUGCACCAGGUGGCAGAGACAAAAAAAGUUAUUAUCCUUUCGAACAAAGCUGAGUGCAUCUCCUUGAUGUUCAACAGGAUUCCUAUUAGGUUCAAUCUUGAUCCCAUAAAACUGAGGAUCUUGUGCCUUCGGAACAACAAAUUGGAUGAAAGCAUAAUUGUUGAAGCAAUUAAGAAUUGCAGUUCACCGACAUAUCUGGAUUUGAGCGGAAACAACGUCAAGAGGAUACCGGAAGAAUUAUGUUCCUUGGUAAAGCUGGAAUACCUUGAUUUGUCACGAAAUGAAUUUGGGGCAACUGAAGUGCCUCGCUCCUUUGGAAAGCUCAUCAACCUCAAGUUCUUGUACCUAUGGUCUGCUGGUGGUUACGUGAGAAUACCAGCUGGUGUCGUGUCUAGCCUUAAAGCAUUGCAGGUAACAGACUUGAGGAGUUUCUUAAGAGAAUCUACCCUAUCCCUACCUGAGUCAAUAUUCCGAGAGUUGGGCACCCUACCUCAGUUGAAAGCGCUUGGUAUUGUGGUCGAAGGUUCUGCUCAGCUUGAGUCACUAGGAGAAGCGAACCUCCCUGUUAGAUAUUUGGCUCUGCUGGACGUAGGUACAUUCAAUGAUAUUUUAUCAACCGACUUUGCACAAAGGACCUUGUAUGAACUGGAUAUCAGUGAAGAAAUUGACACUCGAGAAAUAACAGUAAGACAUGAUACGGAACAACCAAACAACUGUUUUGGUGCUCUCAACAACCUCAGCUUAACUAUGAUGAGAUCCUUGAGAGAGAUGAAGUGGAUGGGAGCAACUCCAGCAUUUAUAUUCCCAAGGCUCAUUCAUUUGGAAUUGUUUUACUGCAGACGGCUAUUGCACCUCUCUUGGGUUAUGUAUUUGCCUCGCCUUGAACAACUUCAUAUAGUUUCCUGUUCUGGUAUAGUGCAAGCAUUUAUGAGGUGCCAUGGUGACAAAUUGUGCAAUGGACAGGACAAGACAAAAACAUUUCGUUGCCUCAAGAGUCUCAGUCUUACUCGUAACUACUCGUUGGAAACUAUUGGGGACAAGGGUAUGGAAUUCCCAUCCCUAGAGCGACUUGUGAUUGACAAUUGUCCAAAAUUGGAGAGGCUUCCUUUCCAGCUGGACAGUUUGCCACUAAAGCUGAAGGAGCUACGGUUUGUUGGGACACAGCAAUCAAAGAGUCUUCCUUUCCAGCUGGACAGUUGGCUACGGUUUGAUGAUGCUCAGUGCUAG
rnacentral:rRNA from 1 species